GUCUAUAGCCAUACCACACUGAAUGGGCCCAAUCUUGUCCAAUCUCAGAAGCUAAGCAGGGUUGGGCCUGGUUAGGACU
rnacentral:rRNA from 1 species